GGGGAUAUAGCUCAGUUGGUAGAGUGUUUGCCUUACAUGCAUAAAUCCCUGUUCAAUCCCCA
rnacentral:tRNA from 1 species